rnacentral:lncRNA from 1 species
GCUCCGGGCGCCCCGCGGAGGGGACGGCCGUUGGGGCCGUUGGCGGGAGGGGUCACCUGAUCGCCCGCGCGUCCCCGCCGCGGCCUCGCUCUCUCCCGGCGYAGGUCCCGCGCAGCGCGGUUGAAAGCGUCACGUGGCUGCGCCCGCCGCCAGUCAUAGAGGCAGGCGCGGGAGGGUAGAGCGGCCUCGUGCUGACGAGCUCCCGCGCCGCCAUCUUGGUUGUGGGCAGGAGCUGUAAGGCGGCGCCUCGACCGUUGCUCUGGCGCCGCGCGCGUGAGGUGGCUGCGCCCGAUCCGGCCUCGUCCCGUCACCGCCGCUCCCGGGCCCUCGCCGCAGGGGGGACGGUUGUGGUGCCCCCACGGGAGAGGAACCCGGGGCCGCGGAGGGGCGCUGCCGCUCCCCGCCAGGCGUGCGGUGCGCCUCGGGCGUCUGCCGCCGCCGCCGGAGAAGGCGGAGAGGAACGGGAAGGUGGCAAAAGUUGCUGGCGGUGAGGACAGCCAGGCGGUCAGGGGCACAGAGGUGCUCUGGUGCGCCCUGAGAACUGGGAGUGAAUCAGUGAAACGCCACCGUAAAGACGAAGUGAAGUCUUGCUCCCUAGCAACCCAAGUGGCAUGUUUACUGAGUGAAAACAGGGCAUUUUGGAGCAAGGCUAUCCAGGAACUGCAGAGUUGCUGUUUCUCAGGACAGCGAGUGAGAAUGGAGUCCUGGAGCCCUCUGGUGGAUGUAUGUAGAAAGAAGACAGCUGAAAAUAACAGAAACUUCAUGGAGCCUGAAGGCGAGGGAGCACACCUCAUUCUCAAAGACAACCUCCUUGAUUAUUAUGCUGUGGUUUCCUUUAAAUCUCUGCUGGAGUGGAGUGGAAGAUCUGUCCAUGGCCUGGCUCCAAGACCAAAUCCCUGGUGAAUGUAGCCUGACAGAGAGAAUGAAAGGACAGAAUAAGAGAAAAAAAGAGGAAAGGAGGAAAAGGGAGGCACUGUGACCCUUGUGCUGAAGCCUUGUGAGCGUGGCAGAGACUUCUGUGUGUUUGUGUGGAAYGGGGGCUGUUUAGAUAAACAGAUGGCAACAAAUGGCAUAAAAUUAUAUACCCAUAAUGUCAGUUCAUAACAUUUUGUUCGACAUACUUGAUUUAAUCGCUUAGCUGACGAUUUUGCUUUUGGGCCCAUAUGGUGGCAAAUGGCAAAUGAA